rnacentral:lncRNA from 1 species
UGCUGGGACUGAGCAGCAGUCACUGGAAACCGGGAGCUGCUUUUGCACCGAGCCAGACUUGACGGGAACCGGGUUGCGCUGGCGACCUGAAGCCAAGCGGAAGUCGGGCGUCCUGAGAUUCCAGCGAAAUUCCGGUCGCUGGAAGCCAGCCGCGCGCCGUUCCCAUCCAUUACCAGGACUCCGGAAGUCGUUAGUGCUGGCAAGCCGAAGCCAACCGGAAGUCGGGAAUCGUGAGUCUCAGAAGCCCCAUUCCCGUCUCUGCAGGGGAAGCCAGAAUGGGACGGGAACUCGGUAAUGCUGGCGACCUGAAGCCAAGCGGAAGGAGGGAGCACUGGAACUUGAAAGCGAAAUUCCCGACUCUAUUUCCCCGCGAUCCCCGAUGGCAGACCGGAAGUCUGUAGUGCUGGCGAGCUGAAGCCAACCGGAGAUCGGGCGUGCGAAACUCCAGUCACGAAACAGUGUGUGUUGCCCACCCCGCGGAAACCGGAAGUCGAUAGUCCUGGCGAGCUGAAGCCAACCGGAAGUCUGGUGUGCUGUGCCUCACUCGGGGCGCUGGCGUCACACAGCGAGGGCGGCACCGAGUCCCAGGGCGGCGUUCUGCAGACCGGAAGCGGAAGCGCGUCACAGAGCGGGUCCGUCCCUUGGGCGGCAGCGUCGGGGAUGCGGGCGAUGCGUUCUGAGCUUGAUCCAGGCGGCGGUGGAGCCCGCGGGCCAGCGGAAGUGGCGGGGCCAUGGGCGGGACCUGCGGUAAUUGCCGUGUGUGGCUACAUCAAAUGGGUCUUUGGAAGGCCUGCAUAACCAGGAGGGAGGUGUGUGCCAAACAAGAUCUAUGAAGAUCUCAUGAAAGUUGGACAAGGUAAAGAUCAACUGCUCCUUUGUGACCCCACUGUGACCAGGUAUAGCCCACAGCCAGCGUGGCACCUGGGGUGACACUCACCAUCACCCCUCUUGCUAGUUUUGAAGGCAGACCCUUUUCUGUACUUUGAACCACUGGUAGAGCCCCCAAACUGACAUGCUCAAAUUUUCUCAUUUAGGUCUCUCUAAAAGUUCAGGCCAGUGAGACAGGGUGUAUGUGUGCUGCCAUAGAUAUAUCUCUUUACAAUGCAGAACACUUCUUUGAAAAACAAUCAAAGAGUCUUGUAUGUAAACACUGGCUCUGCUGAUUUGUUUCAUUUUCAAAUCUGGACAAACCAAGAGCUGUGUUUUCACGUAGAAUAACCUAUUGUGAAGAAACAAAGAAUUAUUCUAAUUAGAGACUAGUAUAGCUGUCAAUCAACUUGCUUAGUGAAAUCGAAAUGUCAUCUGGAAUGCUUUGACUGCCAAAUGUAAGAAUCCCUAUAGUUUCCACAGAUGGCCUCCUAAUCUAAACCUAACAAAUAACUAGGAUAACCAUUGUUAUUAAAAAGUAAGGUUAUAUUCUUGUAUUUCUCAGUGCUUUGCAUAGAGAGUCUUAUGUUCAUUGCUGUUCAUUCCUCUUGAUA